UGGACACAGGAUUCUAGCAGCAGUGGCAAAUAAAGAGAUUCGCACUGGAAGCUCAUGUUCAGGUCAUUAUCUACCACGACCCCCAACUCUUCCUCUGCAUUAAUGCUUCCAUAGAGUCUACCAUCCUCAUCUCCCGAGCAUAUCCCAGCACAGCUCCUGUGGCCACUGACCUCAGCGAGAGCAGGAUCAGACCUAGGAGUCCGGCUUGAAUGUGCCAUCCCCAGCUGUCUAAGCAGGUCCGAAAGGCCCGCCUCUUCUCUGCAGCGUUGUCUGUUUGGGGCUCCAGGCAAAUCCAUUA